UUGAACGCUGGCGGCAUGCCUUACACAUGCAAGUCGAACGGCAGCACGGGAGCAAUCCUGGUGGCGAGUGGCGAACGGGUGAGUAAUAUAUCGGAACGUGCCCAGUCGUGGGGGAUAACGUAGCGAAAGCUACGCUAAUACCGCAUACGAUCUACGGAUGAAAGCGGGGGAUCGCAAGACCUCGCGCGAUUGGAGCGGCCGAUAUCAGAUUAGGUAGUUGGUGAGGUAAAGGCUCACCAAGCCGACGAUCUGUAGCUGGUCUGAGAGGACGACCAGCCACACUGGGACUGAGACACGGCCCAGACUCCUACGGGAGGCAGCAGUGGGAAUUUUGGACAAUGGGCGCAAGCCUGAUCCAGCAAUGCCGCGUGCAGGAUGAAGGCCUUCGGGUUGUAAACUGCUUUGUACGGAACGAAACGGUGAGCUCUAAUACAGUUUGCUAAUGACGGUACCGUAAGAAUAAGCACCGGCUAACUACGUG
rnacentral:rRNA from 1 species